ensembl:lncRNA
CUUGGACUUUCUUUUUGAAAGAUUUAAAUACUUGGUGUCUGAAUAGAGCACUGGGGGAGAGAGUUCAGGAGUUCAAAGCCCCAGGGAUCUGGUGCCUGUGGACAGGGGAAUGUUGUUCUGGAAGGCGAGAGAAGCCCAGCCUUUGUUCUCAUCCCACAGAAACAGUCCUGGAUUCACUGCAAGAUUGGCAUCCGCCUAUGCCAAUUUGUAAAUACUUUUGGAAAUGCCCUUUGCCCAGGAGGCACUUGGCGAAACCUCUUGCUUACUGUGUGGCCAGCCAGCCGUAGGAGAGGUUGAAGGUGAGCAGAGCUGGGAAGGCAGUGAGUGACCCCAGGGAGAGGUGACGAGGAGGCCCCAGCAGGAAGGGCGGUUCGAGGUCUUUCCUGGACGGUGCACGAGACGAACCCGUUCCCCACCUGCUCGUCCCACUCUAGCUCGGGCCUUGCCAAGCUUCUGGGUGAGGCCGUGUGCUCUGGCACAACCCGUGUUUCCCUUUCCAAACCUUAAGCCCGGUGCUGUUCCCACAGCCCAGCUCGGCAGGCUUGUGCUGUGGAACCAGAGGAGGCAGCCUGAUUGGCCGGGCAGGCACGGUGCUGCGGGGCCCCUGGCCUGACCACCCAACAGGUCAGAGCCGUUAAAGCAGGGCAGGACCCGAGAGGGGGGACUGAGAUGCACGAUCGCUCACCCAUCCCCGCAAGGCUGAGGAUCUGCACAAACCUGCUGUCGGUGACGUUUUUCUUGAGAACAUUGGAGAAAUCUGAAUGUUGAAUGAGUGUUACAAAAGCCACAGCUUAGAACGCAAACUCCACCUGAGUUUGACCCGUGCUGAGUUGCUUCAGUUGUGUUCAACUCUUUGUGACCCUAUGCACUGUAGCCCACCAGGUUCCGCUGUCCAUGGGAUUUCCCAGGCAAGAAUACUGCGAAGGGCCGUAUCAUCCUGGGCCUCCCCUGGCAAGCUCACCUCUCACAAGGCUGUGGCUCAACUCCUCUGGGUCUUGUGUGCGGGGCAGGUGAGUGGACGGGCGGUCUGCCCAUCUAAUGGCACCCGUGCCCUGGAUGGAGCCACCGCUGGGCACCCACACCCUCCACUGGCCUGGCCCCCUCCCGGCCCCAUUCCUGGACCUGGCUCCGCCUCUGCCCUUCUGCCCAGCCCCAUUCCUUCCUGGGUCUCUCCUACACUGCCCAGCAGGAGCCAGACACUCUUUGGGCACACUCCCUGAUUCCCGGGUGUGGGCGGGCGAAAGCAGAAGUGCAGCGGGGGGCACGGUGUUCCCCCGGGCUUCCCCACACUUCCACUUCUGAUGAGCGGGGAAACCAUUCCCUCCUCUGCCCUCAGAGUCUGUAAUUUCUCCUGCAAGAGAGGAACAUGUCUAAAAAGGACAUUAUUGGUGUGUGAGGGGGGAAGUGGGACAAAAAACACUUAUUGUCCAGCAGCUGCACGGUUACGGCCCUUCCUUCCUGGGACUGUUCGUCCAGAUCAGCAGGUGGGUCGAGCCGCACCCAGCAGACACCUGCCCUCACUGGGCUCUGGGUCCCCACGUUUGGGCCAAAUGCGGUGUGAGCCUCUUCCUGGCUGGAAGGGACUGCCUGGCCGAGCUCACCCCUGGGCUGCGGCAGUCGGUGCAGAGCAGGCUUCAGUGAUUUAAAAGACAGAGACGUGGCUGAUUUUGAUUUUGUAGGGCAUUUGCUACCAUUUUUUUUUCUCCCCACAACUGUGCUCUAAAACAAAUCGUAGUAUUUAGAUGAAGGUCAGGAACAGGAAAACCUCUUUUGGUUCCAAAAUAUCUGAGUACAUUGUUUUGCUAAGUGAGGUGAGUUGUGUUCCUUUAGGGCUGAAGUCUGUGGACGGUGUGGGUUGCUGCCCUCUUGUGGCAGAGAAGGGAUCCGGGCCUGGUGUUCCCCACAGACGUGGCCUCGAGCCCGCAUUUGUUGGGACAGUUGGGGAGCUGCUGCUGGGCAGCCUGUGGGGCAGGAGAGACCUCCCCCCUGGUCUCUGCAUAUGAGAUUCCGGACUAGUCUAGUGACUGUUCACAGAAGCGAGGUCUGAGGCCAACAACACACACCUUGGCCGCCACAGAGGAGCUGGGGGACCCUUCCCUGACUGGGUGGCCAGAGCUGAGCCCCCAGAGGCCCCCGUGACCAGAGCCGCGUCCCUUGUGAACAAAAACGAGACGUGUGAAACCAGUCCUCGCUCCCUGCUCCUUCCUUCUCUACUCAGCGAUGGUUACUUCUGCAGAAGUCUCUCCCUUCCCAACUCCUGAAUGGUCCUGCUCUGUCUCCUGUUGGGGCUGAAUCGGGACGCUCAGAAUCCUCGUGCUGAAGCCCUGCCACUCAGGGUUUUGGAGACAGGCUCUGUGAAGAGGUGGAAAGCAGGCUGUUAGGUGGCCCUGACCCCAUCUGACUGGUGUCCUUGGACAAGGAGGAGAUAAGGCCAAGGACAGGGCCUCUGGAGGAGCCACCCUGCUGACGCCUGGACCUGGGCCUUCCCGCCUCUGGAAUGUCUAUCGUGAGCCAUCGCCUGUGGUGUUUGGGUGCCGGCAGCCCCAGUGAAUGAACACGCCUGCUGACAGAAUGCCAUCUCUAAAGGGCGGAGGUUGUAUCUGAGGCUUAAAGGACACAACCGCAUGGACUCCCCUGGGGCCAGGCCACAUGUUGUCUGUCCAGAGGCUCUGGAGAUAAAACACUGAGCAGCUGGCGUCUGUUUCAUUUAAUCGUCAGAGUGACCUACUUUAUAGAUGACCACAUUCUCAGAAGUUAUCCUGCCCAGGGUCACCCAGGUCGUGGGGAUAAGCAAGAUUCAAACUCGGCCGGCCUCCAUCUCUCUCUCUCUCUCUC